CCGGCGCACGGGUGAGUAACGCGUAUCCAACCUGCCGUCUACUCUUGGACAGCCUUCUGAAAGGAAGAUUAAUCCAGGAUGGGAUCAUGAGUUCACAUGUCCGCAUGAUUAAAGGUAUUUUCCGGUAGACGAUGGGGAUGCGUUCCAUUAGAUAGUAGGCGGGGUAACGGCCCACCUAGUCAACGAUGGAUAGGGGUUCUGAGAGGAAGGUCCCCCACAUUGGAACUGAGACACGGUCCAA
rnacentral:rRNA from 1 species